rnacentral:rRNA from 1 species
AUUGAACGCUGUCGGCAGGCCUAACACAUGCAAGUCGAACGAGUGGCGGACGGGUGAGUAAUGUCUGGGAAACUGCCCGAUGGCGGGGGGUAAAUACUGGAAACGGUAGCUAAUACCGCAUACCAUCGGAUGUGCCCCGAUGGGAUUAGCUAGUAGGUGGGGUAACGGCUAACCUAGGCGACGAUCCCUCGCUGGUCGUAGAGGAUGACCAGCCACACUGGAACUGGGACACGGUCCAGACUCCUACGGUAGGCAGCAGUGGGGAAUAUUGCACAAUGGGCGCAAGCCUGAUGCAGCCAUGCCGCGUGUAUGAAGAAGUCCUUCGGGUUGUAAAGUACUUUCAGCGAGGAGGCGUUACUCGCAGAAGAAGCACCGGCUAACUCCGUGCCAGCAGCCGCGGUAAUUC